rnacentral:rRNA from 1 species
GUGGGGAAUAUUGGGCAAUGGGCGAAAGCCUGACCCAGCAACGCCGCGUGAGGGAAGAAGGUUUUCGGAUUGUAAACCUCUGUCCUUGGUGACGAAGGAAGUGACGGUAGCCAAGGAGGAAGCCCCGGCUAACUACGUGCCAGCAGCCGCGGUAAUACGUAGGGGGCAAGCGUUGUCCGGAAUGACUGGGCGUAAAGGGCGCGUAGGCGGCUUUUUAAGUUAGAAGUGGAAGUCCUGCUUUUAAGGUGGGAAUUGCUUUUAAUACUGGAAGGCUUGAGUGCAGAAGAGGUAAGUGGAAUUCCCAGUGUAGCGGUGAAAUGCGUAGAGAUUGGGAAGAACACCAGUGGCGAAGGCGACUUACUGGGCUGUAACUGACGCUGAGGCGCGAAAGCGUGGGGAGCAAACAGGAUUAGAAACCCUGGUAGUCC